AGGGCGCUGGAGAGGUCGUUCACACCCUUGUCGCGGUUGUUGGCAGUGGCGAUCAGGUUGAAACCCUGGACGGCCUGC
rnacentral:tRNA from 1 species